AUCUCCCUGUGGGCGGUCCUGUAUUUGCAAGACUGUAAUAAAAACCAGGCUGGGUGUGCCAGCACCUCAGACCACUGCUUGACCCUCAACACGGAGCCUUGUCUCGUUCUUGGGGGGAUUCACUGUAUGCUGUUAGAGACUGAUUGCCAGGAGUGUAAGCUUAUUGUCUGCUUUUCCUGUUCGUCUGCUAGCAGCUAUUUGGGAGGUUCCAGUUCGGGAGUUGGAGUGCUAUUUUGUAUCCCGUUCAAGAGUUUGGUGUUCUGCAGUAGCUGUGCCUGUAUCUCUGGAAAGGGGGCCGAUCGCCUAAACGUUUUUUUCCCCUUUUGUGCAAAACGGUCCG
rnacentral:lncRNA from 1 species